CCCGGUCGAGGACGGCCCCGC
rnacentral:miRNA from 1 species